rfam:Larimichthys crocea isolate SSNF unplaced genomic scaffold scaffold120, whole genome shotgun sequence.
GCUUUUCCCCCCCAGGCUUGUUGGUGUAUACUACAGAGAAGCCAGCAAGGUUCCGGGGGGUGAAAUGC